rnacentral:rRNA from 1 species
UACGUAGGGGGCGAGCGUUGUCCGGAGUUACUGGGCGUAAAGGGUGCGUAGGCGGCCCAUUAAGUCAGGUGUGAAAAACCCUGGCUCAACCGGGGUAUUGCACUUGAAACUGGUGGGCUUGAGUGCAGGAGAGGGAAGCGGAAUUCCUGGUGUAGCGGUGAAAUGCGUAGAUAUCAGGAGGAACACCAGUGGCGAAGGCGGCUUCCUGGCCUGUAACUGACGCUGAGGCACGAGAGCGUGGGGAGCAAAC